UACGUAGGGGGGCAAGCGUUGUCCGGAUUUAUUGGGCGUAAAGAGCUUGUAGGCGGUUUGUCGCGUCUGCCGUGAAAUUUCGAGGCUCAACCUCGAACUUGCGGUGGGUACGGGCAGACUAGAGUGUGGUAGGGGAGACUGGAAUUCCUGGUGUAGCGGUGAAAUGCGCAGAUAUCAGGAGGAACACCGAUGGCGAAGGCAGGUCUCUGGGCCACUACUGACGCUGAGAAGCGAAAGCAUGGGGAGCGAACAGG
rnacentral:rRNA from 1 species